rnacentral:lncRNA from 1 species
GUUUAGAGUUUAAAACUCUAAUGCUGUCUGAAAGGAAAAAGUUCAGUUUAGGGUUUAAAGCCCUAAUGCUGACUAAAAGGAAAAUUCAGUUUAGGGUUUAAAACCCUAAUGCUGAUUGCAUGGAGAAACUCAGUUUAGAGUUUAAAACUCUAAUGCUGGCUGGAAGGAAAAGGUUCAGUUUAGGGUUUAAAACCCUAAUGCUGAUUAAAAGGAAAAUUCAGUUUAGGGUUUAAAACCCUAAUGCUGAUUGCAUGAAAAAAAACUCAGUUUAGAGUUUAAAACUCUAAUGCUGGCUAAAAGGAAAAAGUUCAGUUUAGGGUUUAAAACCCUAAUGCUGACUAAAAGGGAAAUUCAGUUUAGGGUUUAAAACCCUAAUGCUGAUAAAAAGGAAAAUUCAGUUUAGGGUUUAAAACCCUAAUGCUGAUUGCAUGAAAAAGCUCAGUUUAGAGUUUAAAACUCUAAUGCUGGCUAAAAGAAAAAAAAGGUUCAGUUUAGGGUUUAAAACCCUAAUGUUGACUAAAAGGAAAAUUCAGUUUAGGGUUUAAAACCCUAAUGCUGAUUGGCUGGGGAUAAAGCUCGAGAAUACUACACGAUCUAUUUUUGAGUUUUCUUGUUUUAAUAGAGGAUAAAAGGGAGUUUUGCGGGAACUUACCUUUUGAGUGAAUUCCUUAUUGCCAAAAUGUUUCUUGUACCCGUGUACCUUCUUCUUUGGGCGACACCCGCUUCUUGCAUGGUUGUCUUGGAUCAUUCCUGUUUCAACUUUUCAGACAAAGAACAAUUGUUAGUUCGGAAACGACGAUUGGUUCGGUGACCUCGUAAGGCCUCUUUUUUCUUUUUGUCCCGUUUUGAUUGAAGGUUCUCAACGGGGAUUCUAUUGGAGGUGUUUGUGGAAACUUGUACAAAAGGAAGCUAUGUGGGGGAAAUAUUUACAAAGUGGAUUCUUUGUGCGGAUUCUGUACAAUGGGGCAUGCUGGGUUUUUUGUUUCGAAACGGGUUUCUCGGGGUUUGUUGGGGUAAGCUUGUUGG